GACGAACGCCGGCGGCGUGCCUAAUACAUGCAAGUAGAACGCACAGUUUAUACCGUAGCUUGCUACACCAUAGACUGUGAGUUGCGAACGGGUGAGUAACGCGUAGGUAACCUGCCUGGUAGCGGGGGAUAACUAUUGGAAACGAUAGCUAAUACCGCAUAAUAUUGAUUAUUGCAUGAUAAUUGAUUGAAAGAUGCUAUUGCAUCACUACCAGAUGGACCUGCGUUGUAUUAGCUAGUAGGUGAGGUAACGGCUCACCUAGGCGACGAUACAUAGCCGACCUGAGAGGGUGAUCGGCCACACUGGGACUGAGACACGGCCCAGACUCCUACGGGAGGCAGCAGUAGGGAAUCUUCGGCAAUGGACGAAAGUCUGACCGAGCAACGCCGCGUGAGUGAAGAAGGGUUUCGGAUCGUAAAGCUCUGUUGUAAGAGAAGAACGGGUGUGAGAGUGGAAAGUUCACACUGUGACGGUAGCUUACCAGAAAGAGACGGCUAACUACGUG
rnacentral:rRNA from 1 species